rnacentral:rRNA from 1 species
UACGGAGGGUGCAAGCGUUAUCCGGAUUUACUGGGUUUAAAGGGUGCGUAGGUGGGUCUGUAAGUCAGUGGUGAAAUCUCCGAGCUUAACUCGGAAACUGCCAUUGAUACUAUAGAUCUUGAAUUAUCUGGAGGUGAGCGGAAUAUGUCAGUGUAGCGGUGAAAUGCUUAGAUAUGACAUAGAACACCAAUUGCGAAGGCAGCUCACUACGGAUUGAUUGACACUGAGGCACGAAAGCGUGGGGAUCAAACAGG